GUCCACGCCGUAACGAUGAUAACUAGCUGUCCGGGCUCAUGGAGUCUGGGUGGCGCAGCUAACGCAUUAAGUUAUCCGCCUGGGAGUACGGUCGCAAGAUUAACUCAAGGAAUUGACGGGGCCGUGCACAAGCGGUGGAGCAUGUGGUUUAAUUCGAAGCAACGCGCAGAACCUUACCAGCUUUUGUACAUCCCGAUCGCGAUUACCAGAGAUGGUUUUCUUUCAGUUCGGCUGGAUCGGUGACAGGUGCUGCAUGGCUGUCGU
rnacentral:rRNA from 1 species